rnacentral:rRNA from 1 species
GACGAACGCUGGCGGCGUGCUUAACACAUGCAAGUCGAACGGAAAGGCCCUGCUUUGGUGGGGUGCUCGAGUGGCGAACGGGUGAGUAACACGUGAGUAACCUGCCCUUUACUUUGGGAUAACGUCAGGAAACUGGGGCUAAUACCGGAUAGGAGCUCCUGCUGCAUGGUGUGGGGUGGAAAGUUUCGGCGGUUGGGGAUGGACUCGCGGCUUAGCAGCUUGUUGGUGGGGUAGUGGCUUACCAGGGGUUUGACGGGUAGCCGGCCGGAGAGGGUGACCGGCCACAUUGGGACUGAGGUACGGCCCAGACUCCUACGGGAGGCAGCAGUGGGGAAUAUUGCACAAUGGGCGGAAGCCUGAUGCAGAAACGCCGGGUGCGGGAUGACGGCCUUCGGGUUGUAAACCGCUUUCGCCUGUGACGAAGCGUGAGUGACGGUAAUGGGUAAAGAAGCACCGGCUAACUACGUG